UACGUAGGGUGCGAGCGUUGUCCGGAAUUACUGGGCGUAAAGAGCUCGUAGGUGGUUUGUCGCGUUGUUCGUGAAAACUCACAGCUUAACUGUGGGCGUGCGGGCGAUACGGGCAGACUGGAGUACUGCAGGGGAGACUGGAAUUCCUGGUGUAGCGGUGGAAUGCGCAGAUAUCAGGAGGAACACCGGUGGCGAAGGCGGGUCUCUGGGCAGUAACUGACGCUGAGGCGCGAAAGCCAGGGGAGCAAACAGG
rnacentral:rRNA from 1 species